AUUCCGUCCCGGCCCCCGCCGGAGGAUGGAGGAGAACCCAGAGUCCAGAGGCAGGGUGAGUGAUACCGCAGGGAUCUGGAAGCCGAGCUGGCGGAGGGAACACGUUGCCAGAGAGCAAGAAGCUUCUUCCCGAAAUGGAGGUUGAGGCUCUGGAGGGGAACGGUAGGUUGCGGAGCGGAGGUGGGGUUUGUCAGGGGUUGGAGUCGAUGCGGAGGAGAGGAGAGUGCUUCCGGUUGGGGGGCGGGGG